rnacentral:rRNA from 1 species
AUUGAACGCUGGCGGCGUGCCUAACACAUGCAAGUCGAGCGGUAACAGGUGUAGCAAUACAUGCUGACGAGCGGCGAACGGGUGAGUAAUGCUUCGGAAUCUGCCCAUGUAGUGGGGAAUAACCAGCCGAAAGGUUGGCUAAUACCGCAUACGACCCUUGCCCACAAGGCAAAGGUGAAAGCAGGGGAUCGCAAGACCUUGCGCUAUUGGAUGAGCCGAAGUCGGAUUAGCUAGUUGGUAGGGUAACGGCCUACCAAGGCGACGAUCCGUAGCUGGUCUGAGAGGACGACCAGCCACACUGGGACUGAGACACGGCCCAGACUCCUACGGGAGGCAGCAGUGGGGAAUAUUGGACAAUGGGGGCAAACCCUGAUCCAGCGACGCCGCGUGUGUGAAGAAGGCCCUGCGGGUUGUAAAGCACUUUUAGUGGGGAUGAAAAGCUCGGGGCUAAUACCUCCGGGUCUUGACCUAAA